rnacentral:rRNA from 1 species
GACGAACGCUGGCGGCGUGCUUAACACAUGCAAGUCUACGAGAAAGAGGUAGCAAUAUCUUGAGUAAAGUGGCGCACGGGUGAGUAACACGUAAGUAAUCUACCCUUGGGUUUGGAAUAACCCCGAGAAAUCGGGGCUAAUACCGAAUAAUGCAGCGGCAUCGCAUGGUGGUGUUGUUAAAGUUGCAGCAAUGUAACGCCUAAGGAUGAGCUUGCGGCUGAUUAGCUAGUUGGUAGAGUAAUAGCCUACCAAGGCAACGAUCAGUAGCUGGUCUGAGAGGAUGAUCAGCCACACUGGAACUGAGACACGGUCCAGACUCCUACGGGAGGCAGCAGUGAGGAAUAUUGGGCAAUGGACGAAAGUCUGACCCAGCAACGCCGCGUGGAGGAUGAAGGUCGUAAGAUUGUAAACUCCUGUGAGGAGGGACGAAAGAUUAAGUUUCGUAAGGGACUUAAGUUGACUGUACCUUCAGAGGAAGCCCGGCUAACUACGUGCC